AUGGGGAUUUGCCAUGGGCGCAAGCCUGAUGCAGCCUGCCGNGUGUGUGAAGAAGGCCUUCGGGUUGUAAAGCACUUUCAGUUGUGAGGAAGGUUGUCGUGGUUAAUACCCAUAUAAUUUGACGUUAGCAACAGAAGAAGCACCGGCUAACUCCGUGCCAGCAGCCGCGGUAAUACGGAGGGUGCGAGCGUUAAUCGGAAUUACUGGGCGUAAAGCGUACGCAGGCGGCUAAUUAAGCCAGAUGUGAAAUCCCCGGGCUUAACCUGGGAAUGGCAUUUGGAACUGGUUAGCUAGAGUUUUGUAGAGGGUGGUAGAAUUUCAGGUGUAGCGGUGAAAUGCGUAGAGAUCUGAAGGAAUACCAGUGGCGAAGGCGGCCACCUGGACAAGAACUGACGCUCAUGUACGAAAGCGUGGGGAGCAAACAGGAUUAGAUACCCUGGUAGUCCACGCCGUAAACGAUGUCUACUAGUUGUCUGUGACUUUAAGUCGUGGGUAACGCAGCUAACGCAUUAAGUAGACCGCCUGGGGAGUACGGCCGCAAGGUUAAAACUCAAAUGAAUUGACGGGGGCCCGCACAAGCGGUGGAGCAUGUGGUUUAAUUCGAUGCAACGCGAAGAACCUUACCUGCCCUUGACAUACUGAGAACUUUCCAUAAAG
rnacentral:rRNA from 1 species